GAGGUUGUGCCCUUGAGGCGUGGCUUCCGGAGCUAACGCGUUAAGUCGACCGCCUGGGGAGUACGGCCGCAAGGUUAAAACUCAAAUGAAUUGACGGGGGCCCGCACAAGCGGUGGAGCAUGUGGUUUAAUUCGAUGCAACGCGAAGAACCUUACCUGGUCUUGACAUCCACAGAACCUUGUAGAGAUACGAGGGUGCCUUCGGGAACUGUGAGACAGGUGCUGCAUGGCUGUCGUCAGCUCGUGUUGUGAAAUGUUGGGUUAAGUCCCGCAACGAGCGCAACCCUUAUCCUUUGUUGCCAGCGGUCCGGCCGGGAACUCAAAGGAGACUGCCAGUGAUAAACUGGAGGAAGGUGGGGAUGACGUCAAGUCAUCAUGGCCCUUACGACCAGGGCUACACACGUGCUACAAUGGCGCAUACAAAGAGAAGCGACCUCGCGAGAGCAAGCGGACCUCAUAAAGUGCGUCGUAGUCCGGAUUGGAGUCUGCAACUCGACUCCAUGAAGUCGGAAUCGCUAGUAAUCGUGGAUCAGAAUGCCACGGUGAAUACGUUCCCGGGCCUUGUACACACCGCCCGUCACACCAUGGGAGUGGGUUGCAAAAGAAGUAGGUAGCUUAACCUUCGGGAGGGCGCUUACCACUUUGUGAUUCAUGACUGGGGUGAAGUCGUAACAAGGUAACCGUAGGGGAACCUGCGGUUGGAUCACCUCCUUA
rnacentral:rRNA from 1 species